GAGAAAGAGAGGCUGUCUUUCUGUAUUCCUAAGUCUCUAAAGCAUCUGUGUGAGAGACGGAGGUAUGAGCUGUGUGUCACCCGGAGGUUUUAGAUCCAGUCGCUGUCUUCCACCGGAGCUACUCCAGUUUUUGUGCGUUCACGAGUUUGCGCCUUGAUUGGACUCGACUAAACCAAAGAAUGCUAACUCGCUGGUAUCAGUUGUGAAAAGACUUUACAGCUUUAUGGACGUCACCAUCUUUUAAUUUUACUUAUUUUAAUAGCGAUCGCUAUGGUCACGGGCGAUUUUCACAAUUAUUUUCACGACUUCACGAUUUAUUCAUUUAUUUAUCUAUUUUAGAUUGUUUUAGAAAACAAGAACAACAUCGCCUUUAGUUGUUCCACAGUGAAAACACUAUUUUUAAAUGCUUAUAAAUGGUUAGAAUAUUAUUUUGUUUCUGAACAUUUUUCUUGAAAUGCUAAAGCAGGCUAAAGCCAGUGGCAACACAUCAGGUUUCUUUUAAAUGUCAUUCCCUUCAAAUGGAAAAUGUCAAAUACUACAGUGCGGUAAAAAACACGUUUAAGUGUUCCAUUUAAGACGACACUACCAUACUGGAGUUCACCCAAGUGUAUCUACCUUACUUUUAAAGUAAGAAUGGGCACUUCCAUUUUCAGCUUGAAUGUGCAAGGCUUCGGUGACAGCUGCUUCCAAUUAUUUUAGCUGUAACGUUCAAAAAACAGUCAGUUGUGCUGCUUGUUAUAGCGAAGUAGUACUUAUUAUAAUUUUUUUAAAUGUAUUAUCAUAAUCAUAAACACACGGUACUAGCCUAGUUUUACAAAAUUUACUGCAUUUCUAGUUAUUUACAUGUACACUUUAAUCAGGGCAGACGCCAUAUUGAAUUUUCCCAGGAUGAAAUGAGAGAGAUUUACAGUCUGUACAAAGCUCCUAGAUAAUGUUCACAACUCACAACAUUCAAAACUAGAGUCUCUGUCUUUUGAAAAGUUGUUUCGUCAGCUGAACAGUUGUUAAACAGUGGCUACAAUUCAUUGAACACACUGUACUAACCCUCAGCCUCGUUUUCAUUGCUGUCAAAAAUUAAAUUGCACUUCUCUGACUAAGUUUAACAUAUGCACUAUGAUAAGUACGCAAAGUUCAGGCUAAUACAAAACAACUUAAGGACUGUCUGUGUGCAUUCAUGAGGGGAAAAGUUCACCAGUUCAGUACUGACUGUGCCUACAGUACCAAAUUCUGGAAGGAUAUGAUGUGUCUAGCAAACAUCAGUCAUUAUUAUCCUUGCAAUUUUGUCAAAUUAGAUGUGUUAGGAGCUGAGUGCAUGCAUGUGUUUAAUGAUGUAGCUGACCAUAACACAGCGAGCUCUCAGCUUGUCUUCUGACCAUCAACUCUAGAAUCAACUCCAUUAUUACUGCCAUGCUGUGCUCCUGUCUGAGCACCUCAUUUAACUGAUUGAUACGAGGAUGCAGGCGAAGGCUAUUCCACGCACAAUAAAAUGACCACGACCAUUUUAUCUCUGUAUUUUGGCGUUUAAGUGAAGCUGUGAAUGUGGAGGGCUGCAGAGUGACAGCUGCAACAGAAAGACAAACAGAGUCAGAGUCCUCGGGCUAAAAUGACUCAAUGCACCCGCUGCUUUUAUACUGUUUCACAGAGCCAUUAAAACCUGCAGGUCUACUGGAGCAGGACUCAAAGGGAGAGGAAAGAUGGAAAGAGACAAAGACAGCAAGAAAAGAAAAGCGGGCCGGCAGGAAGAGUAGAGGAAGAAAGAGAGAUAGAAAAAGCUGCCGCAUCUGACAAGAACCGACAUGUACAAGCCCCUCAGUGACUUCAGUGCUUGACUGGAAUAACCCUUACCUUCAGCACACAGGCAUGAUAGGACUCUUACUCUCCCUCUCUGUACACACACACACACUGUGCCUUGGGCCGGACUGGGUCAAAUUCUCGGAUAGAUUGUCUCUCCUGUAAAUUCUGACUCAGUUUGUUGGAGGUAGACGGGGAUUUCUCUGUGCGUUUCAAAAGGUCAAGUAGAAAACAAAACAAAGGCAGUAGUAUUCAUAGAUGCUGCACUGUUGUUAUGUAACAAUGCAGCCAAAUGGAGUAACCGAAAAACAAGUUCUGAACCCAAACAAAUGGAUGACAUUAGAACAGUGUUAUGGAAUGUUCAUAUCAUGACAGAAUUUCACAAUAGUUCUGACAUGACGUGAUCGAUCUCCCCAUAAUUAAGGCCUGUUCAUAAGGACGAUCGAUAUAACAAUAAUUCUAUUGUUGUCCAUUCCAGUGGAUUAUAAUCUUCUGUGUAUUAUAAGCAUGCACUGCAUUUGUUGUCAGCUGUUAUAAAUUUGUUAGCUCUUAUAAAGCCACUGUCACACUAUUCUACGGAAAGUACUAUGGUCAUAAGACAUCACGCUUUGCACAAUUCAACAUAUAAUACAUCCAAAAUGUAAACAAUCUUUUCAUGUGAAAUUCAAUAUGGCGUCUAAUCUAAAAUCUAUUCUCCCAGGUGAAAAACAAGUGCACUUCCAUAAUGUACUUAAAGUGCUCUAUUUUCGCGCACUAAUUUUGUACUUAAUAUACUAAAAAUGAUCAUUUAGUGCUUCUUAAGGUAAAUUUAAGAUCAUCUAAGUGUACUCAACUGUGCUAUUUUGAGACACCAUGAAUAUGAACUAAAAUGCACUUUUAACAUACUAUCUUUGUAUUUAUCACUGAUGCUCCGGUUCCUUCUGGAGUAUAGAUUGUCAUUAGGAUUUCACAAUGUCCUCUACAAUCAAAUUAAAUUGUGAUGUCACAAAUUCCUCCUGAAAUCAAAUCAAGUGGGGAAAAAUCCUUUAUCUGUGUAAUUAUUUCCCAAUCACUGUCUCAGUGCUUUCUUCAUGAGGAGGAUGUGAGGCAUAAAUUUGAUGAUUAACUGAAUGGCUUUCGUGCUGUUUGCUUUGUGUAGGUCACGGCUCACCUGUGGAGAGUAGCAUGUAAUCUGGACCGAAGCGCUACAGUGAUUCUGGCUGAGAAAUAGAUGUGCCUGUCACAUCGAAUUAAAUUUUCGAAGAGCUGGUCUGGACCUUGAUGAAAAGAGAGGCUUCUCUAGACCAGAAAACAGAAAGAGAGCGAGGGAGGUGGAGUAGUGUGAAAAAGAACGAGGGAGAGAGACAAGGUAUGAAGGACAAACGCAAAGCAAUAUCAACAGGCUAAACAACAGCCUCACAGGUGUGAACCAGUCUGCCUUAUAAAUUCUAUUAGUAGUGUUUUAUCUGAGUCGACAGCACACUAAAUGCAGGGACGGUCCCUCUGGAGUAAUUGAGCGGAUGAAUGUCUUUGCUCAAGGGCACAGUGGUGAUAGUGGAUCUGUUUAACUCUCCAGUUCAUAGGUCAGUGUCAUCUUGGUUUAAAACUAUGAGCUUGUGAUUGUCAAGGCUUUUUCAAAACAUUACACACUCUUAAAAAGAAAGGUUCCAAAAAAAAGGGCGUUUCAUAGUGUUACAGUAUUAACUGUUUUCACACUCUGUGGCGUCUUAUUAAAAAUAUAAUUCAACAAAUAUCCAAAAGGUAAAAAAAAAAAAAAAAGGAUUAGGCAAUCAUAUAUAUAUAUAUAUAUAUGUGACCCUGGACCACAAAACCAGUCUUAAGUCGCUGGGGUAUAUUUGUAGCAAUAGCCAACAAUACAUUGUAUGGGUCAAAAUGAUUGAUUUUUCUUUUAUGCCAAAAAUCAUUAGGAUAUUAAGUAAGAUCAUGUUCCAUGAAGAUAUUUUGUAAAUUUCCUACCAUAAAUAUAUAAAAACUUAAUUUUUGAUUAGUAAUAUGCAUUAUAAGAACUUCAUUUGGACAAAUUGAAAGGCUAUUUUCUCAAUAUUUAGAUUUUUUUUGCACCCUCAGAUUUUCAAAUCUCCGCCAAAUAUCGUCCUAUCCUAAUCCAUACUAAAUCAUUGUCCUAUUCAGACCAUGCAUCAAUGGAAAGCUUAUUUAUUCAGCUUUCAGAUGAUGUAUAAAUCUCAAUUUAAAAAAAAAAAAAAAAAAAAAAUUGACCCUUAUGACUGGUUUUGUGGUCCAGGGUCACGUAUAUAAUGUUAAAGAUUUUUAAUGGAACUAUUGAUGCCAAUAAAGAACCUUUAUUUUUAAGAGUGAGUCAACAUGCAAUACCAGACUGCUACAAAAAUGUAAUGGUAAGAUCGGGCAAACUUUUUUUGGUUUUGUAAAAUGUUAUCUCUAUUUAAAUCAGCAUGUACCUGUGUUUUCUGCAUGUCAAAUCUAACACAGAGAGUCAUUCGCGACUUCUGCACUGAAUCGUGAAUUAUUUUUUGCUUAUGUCGAAUUCGCUUAUGUCCAAGCCUAUAUGCUUCACUGUGUUAACACACUUAUGUUAAUAGUUAACAGGAAGAUAUAUUCUUACAAAACAAAUGUGUGAUAUUUUUGUGGCACAAAUGUAAGGAGGAGACUAAAUUUAUUCUGAAUACAAGUAGGUAAAAGCCCUAGUUUGACAUUAAAUAGACCAGCAGCAUGAUUUGAUCAAGAGAAGCAACACUUUAAGUUAUCAGUUGCAGUCUUUAUUGAUUAUUCAAAUGUACUUUAAAAACAGCUGUUUUGAAGAUAUUGGUCUUUCCAAUAUCAAGUAUGCUUACAUAGAAAAUAGCUGCCUGGCAUCUGGCAGUGUCACAUUUUUAGGAUGCUAUUUUUUUUUUUUUUUCCAGCAGAGCGUGUCCUGUAUGAACGGUCCAUUUGAACAUACAUAAGACCUUGUCUGCCCUCUGGGAACAUGUUUCUCUCUCCCGCGCUCUCUGUGCAGAAGAAUCUUUGACAAGAGAGAUUAAUCUAAGAUAGAGGAGCAUAGAGUUUAAUGUUUACACCCACCAAACAGAUUAAUUAGAGGAAUAGUCAGGAAGCACACAGUCAGGGACAAAAUGCUCAUUUAUCAUGAAGUGAAAUGAUGGAGAGCAGGCGAGAUGGAGAAAGAGAGAGGCGCAGAUGUUAAUGCACUGUCCGUCUGCUCUACAGAGAGGAAGUCAACGUCCCAGUGUUAAUUGUAGCGAAUCAUAUUACAGGCUUCUAAUCCUCUGGAAAUUAACACCAUUCGGACACGGAAAAAUAACAUCUAUUUCUGGACAUUUGUAAUUCACUUCUUCCUGUGUGAGAAAAUUUGGCUUUGUACUUUAAAACGUUCCAGUUCUCAUGUCAAUCAUUCACUCCUUCAAAAAUUAAAUGACUAUGAUCACACUCCAAAUCUGCUGACUCUAAUCCAUCAGUGAAAUAUUAUUAUAUUUCAGUAUAUUGUUUGACUAAUAUUACCAGUUCUGUCUGUACACAGGCUUAUGGAUAAUAUAAAGUCCUCUAAUGAAUCAAAUGAAUAAAGUCCAUGUGUAAAUUCACAGUUAUUUUACCCCAGUAUUGGUUAUUAAAUCAGCAUGAAGUAGAAUCAGGGCAUGGAGCAAAUUUAUUAACCAAAAAAGAAAGAAAAUAUUAACAAUGAAUUUACAUUUUCUUGUGUUCCACAAAAAACAAAAGUUAUACAGGUUUGUCAUACAGAAACAACAAUGACAAAAUUUUCAUUUCUGGGUGAACUGUGCCUUUAAAUUUGGCCCAUGACCUACAGAGAAAUAUUGAAAACCAGAAAUAUCAGAACAGUGUUAUUUUAGCAUUAUUUAUACACUAUUAUAUUAUUUAUUCAUAUUUUGAAUGAGCUUUUAUAUAGCUUUUAAUUCUCAUUUUAAUGUGCUUUUGUCAGUUAUUAGUCCCCCUCAAAAAAAUCUAUUUAGCGCUAAUAUAUAUUCAUAUAUAUUCAAAAUAAAAUAAUAAAAUAAGUUGAAGGCAACAUUUCAAAUUUUUUAAAAGUUUUUUUUUUUUUUAAAUUUGUCAUUUAAUAUUUGUAUGUUAUUGUAGAUUUAAAUUAAUUCAUUUUUACUUAUUAUUGUCAUUUUUUAAUUUGAAUUAAUAUUAACAUUAACAACACUGUCAAAGGACUGAUGCAACAUUCACACAGGCAGACCAGUUUGAAAUUCCAAGUUUAUUCCAAUUUGGAAUCUGCCUAAUAAUGUGGUAUAUUUUUGAUAUUUUGACAAUGAGUGAUUCUGACAGACUUUGCAUUAAUGAGAAUGCAAAUAACAGCACAAGCAAUAGUAUGUUCUUUCUCUCAAUAGACAAGAUUUGGAACGGUAGAAAGUUCUUAUACACCAGCUGGUCAUUGAGACCUGAAGCACAAGACACUAUUCAUCAACCUCCACAAGAUGCCAAAAACACAUAGAACAGAGCAUCUCUCUCUCCUUCAUACAGAGAAAUACACACACACACCACACACAGCUGUGUCCUGAUGAAUGCUCCUGAUUUAUUCUGCAGGAACUGGGAUCAUUUGUUACUUGCGACACCCCUCUUCUCUUCCUCGCUUUGAUAAAGCUGCCAGCUGCUCCAGUUACAAACACUCUUUUGAUCUCUCGACUUCUGCUGGCCAAAACUGACUUCCGCCUUCAUACAAAACUCCAAAAAUUCUUGGUGAGAGCAAGAGACACUAGGGGUGCCGGAACCAAGUCUAGGCAUGAGGCGGUGGAUUGAGAGAUGUACUAUACUUUGAGUAAGAAAGAUAGUUUAAAAUCCACUCUAAACUUGAUCCAUAGACUCCCUUUUUUAAGCAUUUAUGCACCGUUACAGUACGACAGAUCGGUGGUAAUUCUGUUACAGCUAUUACAUUCUCUAGGGAGAUGUAUUACAUGAAGUUGAUAAAACCAAACUGUGCGAAAACGUCUGACAUUUUAUCCGCAUAUCUACAUAUAUAUAUAUAUAUAUAUAUAAUAGAUCAUCUUUAGAUUGCAUUUCAGAGUCUCAAUGGUCUCAAUGAACACACUAUUCAUCAGUUUCUGGCCUACAGGUCAGACUUAACAGAAUCUGCUUCAUUUUACACCGGUAAACACAGACUUGAUUCUUCAUCUAAGUCAAAACUGUGACAUUUAGACUCGCUGCCAUUUCUUUAAUUGAAUGUAACUUACCUGAACACAAGGCCACGGAUGCAAACCGCAGAGAGUUUGAGCUGAUGUCCUCAGUGAAAAAUGGUCUAAAAACAAUCUCUUCUUACAGCAAUCAAACAGCAGCAUACAGAAAGCACUGCCCUUUAUUGCACACAUUACAAAGCUCCUUUUAAAUCAUUUAUUUUUGCCAUGAAUAACAGGUUCUCUUCACACAACUUUUUCCAACUCCAUACACAAAAAGUAUAUGAAGGCAUUUCAAAUAAAUUCAUAUUUGUAUAGAAAAAAAAAAAAAAAUUAUAUAUAUAUAUAUAUAUAUAUCUAUAUCUAUCUAUAUAUCUAUAUAUCUCAACUUAGUCUUUGCACAAACCUGUUUUGUGGGACAUUUCAGCAACAAGGUCUCUUUAAAAGCAAAAGAAAACACUCUUGCUCUUAAGCUUUUUAUUUGAGAAACGCUACAGCUCUCCACACAGAAACUACUGGACCAAAUGCUUUUAUAAACCACAAACAAAUCAAUGAAUUAUCAAAAUAAUUAUUUAAUGACUUGAAUGCUGGUGAUUGUGACCUGUGAGGAAACAUUCCCUGAGGACAUUUUUGCUUGUGAAACCUUCCCUUUAUUAAUAUAAUAUUAAGGCUUUGUUCAUCGCUCUUCAAAAUGAAGAUGAAUACAACUUCAGUCAGUCAACAUAUAAUGCAUGUUUUCCAUUCUGAAGCUUCACUCAGUGGGAUAAAGGUGGUCUAAAAAAAAAAAAAAAAAACACUUUAUUUGUGCAGUUGCAAUGCAUUUCAAAUUAGUCAAAAAUUUAGGAUUAGGACCAAAAAAAAACAUUAAUACAUUGUGCUUGGGUAGUUUACAAAACAUUUCCCCACAGAAAAUAUUGAAUAAAUAAAAAGAAAAACAAAUUUCACUUAUCCUAAAUAUCUCAUACAGUGAGGACACUGACUUUAGUCUCCAAGGCAACAACACCCAAGCAGUUCCUACAAGGGCAGACUAGUUUGUUAGUACUUUCGUUCACGUAAAUGCUCUGAAAGCAAACAGCCAGCAGCCCUUGCAGACACCUCAUCUCACCGCCACCUCUGCAGGUCAAACGACCUUCAAAAACUCCACAUGACCCGUUACAUAUGAAGUCUGAUGGUGCAGAGCUGAGAUCAGAGGCACUAGACAAUUUUGGGCAGGAUGGACAUUCAUUUGCACUGAGUCAGGCUAAAACAAAAUACCUUCAAUGGCGGCAGUAAAUGCAUCGAUUCCUGAGGCUCAACAGGACAAAAAGAAAGAGUACUGUUUAGAGCCUAUUCAAGGACAAAAAGAUCCCAAAUUGGACUAAAUAUUUCCAGUUAUUGAGUUUUGUAACAGAAAAAGUUGUGCUUUGACUCUACAGAGAUCUAACUCAGAAUUACAUCCAGUUUUAAAGAAAGCAGCGGUUUUUCCAAAGAAAACAAAAAGGAAACACCAGUAGCACCAUUAAACUGCGUGAACAGUGAGGCAGACAAGGCAUGGCAGCACACGCUUGGGAAGAUUUCUACAGCGACAAAGAUGAAAGUGCAGGAGCGGAGUGAAGGACGGACUGCCUCGUGCACAUUUACCUGUUAGACUGCGUGGAAGUGUGUGUGCGUGCGUGUGUGUGUGAGAGAGAGAGAGAGAGAGAGAGAGAGAGUGAACUGUAAAUGUGUAUGGACCUCUGACAAAUGCAUCUGUUUGAAUGUGUGUGUGUGUGUGUGUGUGUGUGUGUGAGAAACUGUGAGGGUGUUCACACACCAGAUUUAAUCGUGUUAGUCCGUGAACCAGACCAAGGUAGUAAUUUAUUAAACUGGUUAAAAAAAGAACACAACACAAAAUAAUAUCAGCAAAGUUAGUAAAAUUCUUACUAAGAAUGUUUAUUAAAAUAAAUGCCAAGGAGGUUAAUAAGAAAAAAAAUAACAGCAUACACCAUAAAAACUAAAUGCAAGCAUGUAAAAAUACCUAUGACAAGAGGAACUAAUAAGUCGCUAAUGAGUUAAACAAGCUAAAGGAUCAGCAAGAAAACAAAAUAACUGUAGGAAAAGGCAACGCUCCCAAUGAGAGACAGAUUUGAGUAAAGAGUGGGCUGAGAAGGAGGGCAGAGGAGGAGAGAGGACAUGGAGAGAGAAAAAAAAAAAAAAAAGGUGUAGUGGGUUUCAUCACAAAAGGAGAUCAGAAAAUAAUGACUUGUACAUAGAAAAUGAAGUUAGAAAAAUACAUUAGAAACCUGUAACAAUGGCUGUAAUUUACAUUAUUACACAUGUAGUAGGCAGGCAGAAGAGAACACGAGUUUUCUCCAUACACCUGAUAGACUAAACCCAACUCCAAAACAUUAACAGCAUGUAGUAACAUGGCAGAGGGGAUUCCUUUAAUACUGUCCAUCUCUCUGUAGUCGUCUUUGCUCCACUCUAAUAUUGCAUUUCAUUAUUUCAAUGUGUUUAAAAACAUGUAUUUAACACUGAGAAGUGAGGAAAAAAAAAAAAGACAUUGACCUUUUGUGUAACACAAGUGAAGAACAAGACUACAUUAGAGACUGCCAGGGUUACAGGACACAAAGUUGAAUGUAAUCUUACUGAAUGUGAUGAACACCUCCGGUUGUUUCAACGAUUGAAAACUGUGAUUUGAUACCGUGGCUCUUCUGUGACUGUUCGGGUUUGGCACUAAUGAAUAUCCCAGUGACCUUCCUCUCGGUAAUACUUUGAGUAAAUGCUAUAUUUUCCCUCUCCAAGCAUUAUUUGCUCUUUUCAGAUCAGUGCACUGUAAAGCUACAUCUAUCCUUUGUGAAACACCAAAAAGGCUGAAUACUUUCCCCCUCUUCCCUUCUUUCCUCCGGUCUUUUAAAACAAAAACAAAAAGCAAAAACACUUCCUUGGCAUAAAAUGAAGUAUGUUUUGGCAAAUAUGAUUGAAAGCUUCCAGUUUGCAAAUCUUGAAACAAGAGGAGGUUUCAGGAAAAGUCCAAUUCAUUGAGAAAUCUCCCUUCUAAAACACCUGGCAGACUUCCACAUCAUGAUUGGCAGUUGGUCUUGACAAAAAUCACAGUAACCAAAUACACAGACAGCAUUGCCGAUUUUGUCCUCAUAAUAUAAGAAUAACAAUGCAAUAAAACAGAGAAAUAAACACUUUGUUCAAAUGGGGAUUAAAGGAAAAAACAACAAAAGACUUCAACUUAAUUUUGGGAAGACGAAUCAUGGCACAUAGUUAGCUGGUCAAAUGACUGCUAUUCCUUUGCAUAGAAUAGAUUCAGUGGCACAACACUGCAACAGCCUCGUGGUUUAACUCUUGGGGUGCUUCCUUUUCACAAGCCCUCCCUCGCUCUGCGCUAUCCUUGUUGGUGCUGGAUAUUAUUGAACAGAAUGUAACACUCGGAAAAGAAACGACCAUCAGUAAGGCACUUAUAUCUCUAACUGUACUCUUCUCCUCUCACGUCAUGCAAUUCCUCCAACAGGUUUGACUAUAUUGGUCUGUUUUUUCCCCUGGCCAAUAGUAUCCAAAGUCACGCAACCUUUCGCUGUACUAUUCUACAAAUGUUUUUAUAUUUAUUUUUUUGUAUUAUGUUUCAUAUUUUGUAACUGCAAGUUAAGUAUAAAAAGCUAAAAUUGCCAAAAAAAUAUAUUUCUUCUCCAGCACCCUGUAAAAGUAUCUAAUUUUGAUCUUUCUGUAUUUUAAUAUGCAAUGACAUAUCUACAUUUGUAUACAUUUUGUAUAUAUAUAUAUAUCAUGUAUGUAUAAAGCAAUUCGAACAGGCAGACAUGGCUUUCACAUCCUAUGUUUACUCGAGAGGGUGUAUAGAAAUGAGAGUGGGCUCAGUAGCUGGGGAUGUGCAGGACACAUUGUGGAUGGGCUAUUUGAAACUAUUCGAAAAUCACUCUCAGUCGCUUCCCACUCGUGAAUUUCAAUUCAUGAAGGCAAGAACACCUGCAUUUAGUUUCAGCUCAAUUGAAUUAAUUUUGGAAGGUGGGACGGGGGAGAAAUUCAAAAAGAAUAACAUUUAAAUUUUUUUUGGAUAAAUCAACAGAAACCAAAAUAAAACGUGUACAUACAGCAGAGAGGUUAAACGCUCCCCCGUUCUAUCUACCUCAUUCAUCUUCCUUAGUGUUCAUUGCUUUUGUACAUCCUCAAGUAAAUUAGCGUCUUGUGGGACAAUUCAUCACCAUUUCAUCCAUCUUUUGAUUUGCUAUUAUAACAGAUACAGGCAUGACAUCAAACCUUUUCAAACUCUAGACUAAAAUGACAGAACCCUUGGCGGUUAGAUACAUACUCAUAUAUGAAAUUCAUUAAAUGGAAACCCUUUGGCUAAAUGCGCACACAAUAUUUUUUUUUUUUUUUUUUGUCAUCUAUCUCACAGCUCAUUCAAAGAAAGAUUUGUAGAAAGUUCAGGCACUGUAUGUGGGGAGGGGUUGAGAGUAUUUGGGAUGGCAUAGUUCAGUAAACUGAUUCCGGUUCAUAUCCCAGCUAUCCAACCCUGAAUAUCCUAGAUUUGAAGACUCCAAAAACACUUCACCCCAAACAACUCUUGCCCUGCCUGACUCUGCCUACUGCCCCCUACUGAGCUGGCACAUAUACUGCAAUGAGCAGCACGUAUAAACCUGCAAGUAUUGCCAAACGCUAAUAAGAUACAUGGAAACAUAAGAAACAAAAUAGGGAGAAGUAACAGAACAAAGAAAUCAAAACAAGCUUUUUGCAGUCUGUCAUUGUCAUAGCCAUGCUCUAAGUCAGCUGGACAGGCACACCCAGAAUGUGUCAGCACAGUAAAACUCAUCAACUGAAAAACACAGGAUUACAUCAGAGAAGGACAGGAAAUACACAAGUUGGUGUGAGUGCAGAUUUCUUUCCUUCUUUUUCUUUUGCUGAUUAUUCAUGGUGACAGUUUAAAUGGGUGGGGUAGCGUAUAUAAAUGAUCUGGAUGCCCUGUUUAGCGUUAUAUCUGAUAAAACUAGGGUCACCAAGUUGUAUUUUUUCUUUUUUCUCAAUUAUUAUUAUUAUUAUUAUUUUUUAAAUUGGAGUUUUGAGAGUAUAAAUGCAUUUAAGGGCUGAAUUAGCAGAAGACGCUUGUUUAUUGCUUUUAAACUUCAGUGCAGAUUUUCGGGCAACGCAACAUCACUGUUAACAUCCACCCAGUCAUUUGAGAUUUUAAAAGAAAAAGAAAGAAAUAAUAUUAAAAAAAAAAAAAAAAAAAGAUAACAAAA